AAUGAACGCUGGCGGCAGGCCUAACACAUGCAAGUCGAACGGAUCCUUCGGGAUUAGUGGCGGACGGGUGAGUAACGCGUGGGAACAUACCCUUUGGUACGGAAUAGCCUCGGGAAACUGGGAGUAAUACCGUAUGUGGUCGAGAGACGAAAGAUUUAUCGCCAAAGGAUUGGCCCGCGUUGGAUUAGGUAGUUGGUGGGGUAAUGGCCUACCAAGCCGACGAUCCAUAGCUGGUUUGAGAGGAUGAUCAGCCACACGGGGACUGAGACACGGCCCAGACUCCUACGGGAGGCAGCAGUGGGGAAUCUUGGACAAUGGGGGAAACCCUGAUCUAGCCAUGCCGCGUGAUCGAUGAAGGCCUUAGGGUUGUAGAGAUCUUUCAGGUGGGAAGAUAAUGACUGUACCACCAGAAGAAGCCCCGGCUAACUCCGUGCCAGCCGCCGCCGUAA
rnacentral:rRNA from 1 species